rnacentral:rRNA from 1 species
UACGAAGGGGGCUAGCGUUGUUCGGAAUCACUGGGCGUAAAGGGCGCGUAGGCGGCUUUUCAAGUCGGGGGUGAAAGCCUGUGGCUCAACCACAGAAUUGCCUUCGAUACUGUUAGGCUUGAGACCGGAAGAGGUGAGUGGAACUGCGAGUGUAGAGGUGAAAUUCGUAGAUAUUCGCAAGAACACCAGUGGCGAAGGCGGUUCUCUGGGACGGUACUGACGCUGAGACGCGAAAGCGUGGGGAGCGAACAGG